UACGAAGGGUGCAAACGUUGCUCGGAAUUACUGGGCGUAAAGCGCGUGUAGGCGGCAACGCAAGUCGGGCGUGAAAUCCCACGGCUCAACCGUGGAAGUGCACUCGAAACUGCGUAGCUAGAGUCCUGGAGAGGAAGGUGGAAUGCUUGGUGUAGAGGUGAAAUUCGUAGAUAUCAAGCGGAACACCGGUGGCGAAGGCGGCCUUCUGGACAGUGACUGACGCUGAGACGCGAAAGCGUGGGGAGCAAACAGG
rnacentral:rRNA from 1 species